AAGAAAUAUAGGUUUAAGAUCGGACUUCUAAUUCGGGCUUGGGUGGUUCGAAUCCAUUCGUUUCUUU
rnacentral:tRNA from 1 species